GGGCAUCAGGUGACACCGUGGGAUGCAUGUGCAAACAGCCACCUGGCAUUGCAACAGGUACAGGUGGAUGUCGGGGCAGCUCCAGAGCCAGAAUACUCCAGGCUAUUCCCAGAGUAUUCUGGCCCUUGCAGACACCACCUAGGAUAGAAGGGUAAUGGGGCUUAAGGUAAGCCAAACCAAGUCCUAGGAGCCUGGCUGUCUCAUUCCCAAUUUCUUCUUCCACGCGGUUGCAUUGACUGGGGCCAGCUUCAAAGAAAAUCUUGCCUUCAAGAGUGAAGAAAUUGCCAGCUUUGCAAAGUCAAGAGCCGGAGCACUACGGCCCUUUGCUUUCUCGACCUGUACAUUAAGCAGGCAGUAUGUAUGCACACUAAGUCAUCAUAAUAUUUGUGUGUGCAUGUGUUGAUAUGGCGGUGCCUAUUUCCAAAGUGCUAGCCUGGCAUUAUUAAAUAAUAGAACAGAACUGUGUUCCCUGGGAGACAGGCAUGGAGGAGAUAUUGCAGGGCAAAAGUCUCUCUUCAGCGACUGCUGUUAUCUGCGGGAUGCCUGACCUAACACUCAAAUUUUACAGCAUCAGGAAAACUCCCCGAAAGUGACCUAAACCUUUGGCUCAUGGAGAGAUUUUUUUCUUUACUCAAGGCAGCCUGGACUGACUUUGCGAGACUUCAAUGCACCUGCUUCAAGCCAGCCGACAUCACCCACAGUGUGUUAUUAUGACUCAGCAAAUGAUAAGAGCGUUUUUUGACACCGUUUAACACAUGAAAAGCUAAAUUUCAACUUGUUGCUCAGUCCAACUAUGGGAAACACGCACAGCAGUUACAGACCUGAUCCUGAACUGUGCUGAGCUUUCACUACUCUGGAAAGUGGUAAAUUCUGCAUGGAAAGUGACGCUGCCACAUAAGAUCUUUAAAAAGGAAAAAUAUGAUCUCUCUAGGCCUUGGGAGGUCCUCCAGCAUGACUCUAUGGUCUACUUCAAUUGGAAAUAUAGGGUUCACUAUUAUCCAUCAGCGUAGGAUUUCAAGUCACGAUGAGUCACCCAUCUUGAUGGAAGCCAGCCAGCAUCGCAUCUCUCCAGCCUAAUGUCCCUGGAUUCCACAAUAAUACAGGGACGGAAACUAAUUUCAAUCAAGCGCACAGAGGAGAGAAGUGGGAGGAGGAAUUAUUUGACAAGCAAAGUUCCCAGCUGACCCUUCUUUUUAACUAUAAUAAGCUCACCUAUCUCUCCAAGGGGAUGACCUUCAGUCCAUUCUCGGAUGCAGCAGAGAAUCAACCUCUUGCCCUCUUUUAUACUUGACAACUUCUCCAUCUUCUAUUACUUUAAUAUCCUUGCUUUUAAAUAUACAUAUCAUAUUUCCUUCCGGCAGCAAAUUCCCUAUCCCUCCCUCCAUAUGCCUGAUUUAGCUGGCCCUUCCGCUUGCCAUCCCAUAGAGCCAGUCGUGCUGAUUUUAUAACCCCUCCACCGCUCUCCCUGGGCUAGGAUAUGAUUGCAAAAACUCAGAGGGUUCAUUAGUAGCUUGAUAAUCCCUCUAGAUUUAUUAAUUUAAAUGGCUCCUCUCCCAUCGCCUCUCUUCAUUUAAAUAUUACUAAUUUCCUUAAAUUUCUCUUCCAUCUGGCCAGGUUUUCAGCCAGUUCCACUUUCCUUCUUAAUUAACCCUGUCAGAACACUGUCGGCGGUAAGACUACAUUUCCCCCCAAUAAAUUAAUCAAUAAACGAGAGUAAAUAGAGAACACUUUUCACAUGGGACAGACUGAGCUUGAGAAGAGUUCUCUGAAGGACACCAAAUAUUUGAUCAUUUUGCACAAUGAAGCUAGUUACAGAUCUAAUUAAGUCAGCUCCAUAUCCUCACUAUGUUAGUGUGUCAUAAGCCAGGGAGUAGAGUUGGCCUUCCAGAAGUGCAUGGUGCAAAUCCUACCUUGCAACAGACUCUCUUUGAGCCAGGAGCAGUUGUUUUCUUUGCAGAGCAACUGUGUCCAUACCUCAACCUGCCCUAUCUUGCAAUAACAGCUGCACGCUAAACCAAAAUUAGCUUGUAAAUGACUCUUUCAUCUGUAGAAUGUAUGCAUGCACAUAAAGUAUCCUCUUUUAUGAUUCGGUGGGACACACUGUCAAGUCAGCACCUGCAAUGUACUCUUUUGCCCCCUGUCACACUUUG